rnacentral:rRNA from 1 species
CAUGCAAGUCGAACGGUGUCUUCGGACAUAGUGGCGGACGGGUGAGUAACGCGUGAGAAUCUACCUUCUGGUCUGGGACAACCACUGGAAACGGGGGCUAAUACCGGAUGUGCCGGACGGCGAAAGGUUUUCUGCCUGAAUAUGAGUCGCGUUCGAUUACCUAGUAUGGGGGGGAAGAGGCUACCUAUGCGACCAUUGGAGUUGACUGACAGGAUGACCUGCACAUUUACUGAACACGGCCCAGACUCCUACGGGAGGCAGCAGUGGGGAAUUUUCCGCAAUGGGCGAAAGCCUGACGGAGCAAUACCGCGUGAGGGAGGAAGGCUCUUGGGUUGUAUAACCUCUUUUCUCAGGGGAAGAAGCACAAAUGACGGUACCUCAGGAAUCAGCAUUCGGGCUAAAUCCCUGCCAGCCAGCCCGCGGUAAUACGAGAGGGAUUGCAAAGCGUUAUCCCGGAAUGAUUGGGCGUAAAGCGUCCCGCAGGCGGCUGUGUAAGUCUGCUGUCAAAGAGCAAAAGCUCAAACUUUGUAAAAGGCAGUGGAAACUACACGGGCUAGAGUGCGUUUCGGGGCAGAGGGAAUUUCCUGGUGUAACGGUGAAAUGCGUAAAGAUCAAGAAGAAACACCCGGUGGCGAAGGCGCUCUGCUAGGCCGCAACUGACACUGAGGGACGAAA